UACGUAGGGGGCAAGCGUUGUCCGGAAUCAUUGGGCGUAAAGCGCGUGUAGGCGGUCCGGUAAGUCCGCUGUGAAAGUCGGGGGCUCAACCCUCGGAUGCCGGUGGAUACUGCCCGGCUAGAGGUAGGUAGGGGAGAUCGGAAUUCCUGGUGUAGCGGUGAAAUGCGCAGAUAUCAGGAGGAACACCGGUGGCGAAGGCGACUACCUGGCCUGUUCUUGACGCUGAGGCGCGAAAGCUAGGGGAGCAAACGGG
rnacentral:rRNA from 1 species